CUACGUGCCAGCAGCCGCGGUAAUACGGAAGGUCCAGGCGUUAUCCGGAUUUAUUGGGUUUAAAGGGAGUGUAGGCUGGAGAUUAAGUGUGUUGUGAAAUGUAGACGCUCAACGUCUGAAUUGCAGCGCAUACUGGUUUCCUUGAGUACGCACAACGUUGGCGGAAUUCGUCGUGUAGCGGUGAAAUGCUUAGAUAUGACGAAGAACUCCGAUUGCGAAGGCAGCUGACGGGAGCGCAACUGACGCUUAAGCUCGAAGGUGCGGGUAUCGAACAGGAUUAGAUACCCUGGUAGUCCGCACAGUAAACGAUGGAUGCCCGCUGUUGGUACCUGGUAUCAGCGGCUAAGCGAAAGCAUUAAGCAUCCCACCUGGGGAGUACGCCGGCAACGGUGAAACUCAAAGGAAUUGACGGGGGCCCGCACAAGCGGAGGAACAUGUGGUUUAAUUCGAUGAUACGCGAGGAACCUUACCCGGGCUUGAA
rnacentral:rRNA from 1 species